UACAGAGGUCUCAAGCGUUGUUCGGGUUCAUUGGGCGUAAAGGGUGCGUAGGCGGCGCGGUAAGUCGGGUGUGAAAUCUCGGAGCUUAACUCCGAAACUGCAUUCGAUACUGCCGUGCUUGAGGACUGGAGAGGAGACUGGAAUUUACGGUGUAGCGGUGAAAUGCGUAGAUAUCGUAAGGAAGACCAGUGGCGAAGGCGGGUCUCGUGGACAGUUCCUGACGCUGAGGCACGAAGGCCAGGGGAGCAAACGGG
rnacentral:rRNA from 1 species